rnacentral:rRNA from 1 species
UACGUAGGUGGCAAGCGUUGUCCGGAUUUAUUGGGGUUAAAGGGUGCGUAGGCGGCUUUGUAAGUCAGUGGUGAAAUAUGGCAGCUUAACUGUCAGGGUGCCAUUGAUACUGCGGAGCUUGAGUACAGAUGAGGUAGGCGGAAUUGACGGUGUAGCGGUGAAAUGCUUAGAUAUCGUCAAGAACACCUAUAGCGAAGGCAGCUUACUAGGCUGUAACUGACGCUGAGGCACGAAAGUGUGGGGAUCAAACAGG